rnacentral:rRNA from 1 species
GAUGAACGCUGGCGGCGUGCCUAAUACAUGCAAGUCGAGCGAACAGACGAGGAGCUUGCUCCUCCGACGUUAGCGGCGGACGGGUGAGUAACACGUGGAUAACCUACCUAUAAGACUGGGAUAACUUCGGGAAACCGGAGCUAAUACCGGAUAAUAUAUUGAACCGCAUGGUUCAAUAGUGAAAGACGGUUUUGCUGUCACUUAUAGAUGGAUCCGCGCCGCAUUAGCUAGUUGGUAAGGUAACGGCUUACCAAGGCGACGAUGCGUAGCCGACCUGAGAGGGUGAUCGGCCACACUGGAACUGAGACACGGUCCAGACUCCUACGGGAGGCAGCAGUAGGGAAUCUUCCGCAAUGGGCGAAAGCCUGACGGAGCAACGCCGCGUGAGUGAUGAAGGUCUUCGGAUCGUAAAACUCCGUUAUUAGGGAAGAACAAAUGUGUAAGUAACUAUGCACGUCUUGACGGUACCUAAUCAGAAAGCCACGGCUAACUACGUG